rnacentral:rRNA from 1 species
GAUGGACCCGCGUCUGAUUAGCUAGUUGGUGGGGUAACGGCCUACCAAGGCGACGAUCAGUAGCCGGCCUGAGAGGGUGAACGGCCACAUUGGGACUGAGACACGGCCCAAACUCCUACGGGAGGCAGCAGUGGGGAAUAUUGCACAAUGGGGGAAACCCUGAUGCAGCGACGCCGCGUGAAGGAAGAAGUAUUUCGGUAUGUAAACUUCUAUCAGCAGGGAAGAAAAUGACGGUACCUGACUAAGAAGCCCCGGCUAACUACGUGCCAGCAGCCGCGGUAAUACGUAGGGGGCAAGCGUUAUCCGGAUUUACUGGGUGUAAAGGGAGCGUAGGCGGUAUGGUAAGUCAGAUGUGAAAACCCAGGGCUCAACCCUGGGACUGCAUUUGAAACUGCCAGACUAGAUUGCAGGAGAGGUAAGUGGAAUUCCUAGUGUAGCGGUGAAAUGCGUAGAUAUUAGGAGGAACACCAGUGGCGAAGGCGGCUUACUGGACUGUAAAUGACGCUGAGGCUCGAAAGCGUGGGGAGCAAACAGGAUUAGAUACCCUGGUAGUCCACGCC